rnacentral:rRNA from 1 species
GGUGUAGGCGGAUUAUUAAGUCAGAAGUGAAAGCCCUGGGCUCAACCCAGGAAGUGCUUUUGAUACUGAUGAUCUUGAGUGUGGGAGAGGAUAGUAGAAUUCCUGGUGUAGUGGUGAAAUACGUAGAUAUCAGGAGGAACACCGGUGGGGAAGCCGGCUGUCUGGCCCAACACUGACGCUCAGACCCGAAAGCGUGGGUAGCAAACA